rnacentral:rRNA from 1 species
AACGAACGCUGGCGGCGUGCCUAACACAUGCAAGUCGAGCGAGAAAGUCCCUUCGGGGGCGAGUAAAGCGGCGGACGGGUGAGUAAUACAUGGAUAAUCUUCCCUCGAGCCUGGGAUAACCCUGCGAAAGUGGGGCUAAUACCGGAUAAGACCACAUGACACAUGUCACGGGGUAGAAGGUGGCUUGUAUUUAUAUGAGCUAUCACUUGAGGAUGAGUCCAUGGCCUAUCAGCUAGUUGGUGAGGUAAGAGCUUACCAAGGCUAUGACGGGUAGCUGGUCUGAGAGGACGACUAGCCACACUGGGACUGAGACACGGCCCAGACUCCUACGGGAGGCAGCAGUGGGGAAUAUUGCGCAAUGGGGGAAACCCUGACGCAGCGACGCCGCGUGAGUGAUGAAGGCCUUCGGUUGUAAGACGUCUGUCAGAGGGAAAGAAAGGGGAAGUAGCGGAAGUAAUACCGACACGCCAUUGACGGUACCCUCGGACGGAAGGACACCGGCUAACG